ACAUCCUUAGCUCAGAGGCCAGAGCCGCGCUUUUACACAGCGAGGGACGGGGGUUCGAUUCCCUCAGGAUGUA
rnacentral:tRNA from 1 species